CCGUAGUGGCGGACGGGUGAGUAACGCGUGGGUAACCUGCCUCAUACAGGGGGAUAACGGUUAGAAAUGACUGCUAAUACCGCAUAAGCGCACAGUACCGCAUGGUACGGUGUGAAAAACUCCGGUGGUAUGAGAUGGACCCGCGUCUGAUUAGCUAGUUGGUGGGGUAACGGCCCACCAAGGCGACGAUCAGUAGCCGACCUGAGAGGGUGAACGGCCACAUUGGGACUGAGACACGGCCCAA
rnacentral:rRNA from 1 species